UACGUAGGGUGCAAGCGUUGUCCGGAAUUAUUGGGCGUAAAGAGCUCGUAGGCGGUUUGUCGCGUCUGCUGUGAAAACGCGGGGCUCAACUCCGCGCCUGCAGUGGGUACGGGCAGACUAGAGUGCAGUAGGGGAGACUGGAAUUCCUGGUGUAGCGGUGGAAUGCGCAGAUAUCAGGAGGAACACCGGUGGCGAAGGCGGGUCUCUGGGCUGUAACUGACGCUGAGGAGCGAAAGCGUGGGGAGCGAUCCGG
rnacentral:rRNA from 1 species